rnacentral:rRNA from 1 species
CAGCAUCCGCGGGAAUACAGAGGGUGCGAGCGUUAAUCGGAUUUACUGGGCGUAAAGCGUGCGUAGGCGGCUUUUUAAGUCGGAUGUGAAAUCCCUGAGCUUAACUUAGGAAUUGCAUUCGAUACUGGGAAGCUAGAGUAUGGGAGAGGAUGGUAGAAUUCCAGGUGUAGCGGUGAAAUGCGUAGAGAUCUGGAGGAAUACCGAUGGCGAAGGCAGCCAUCUGGCCUAAUACUGACGCUGAGGUACGAAAGCAUGGGGAGCAAACAGGAUUAGAUACCCCCGUAGUCCCUGUCUCUUAUAA